rnacentral:rRNA from 1 species
GUGCAGCAGCCGCGGUCAUACCGGCAGCCCGAGUGAUGGCCGAUAUUAUUGGGCCUAAAGCGUCCGUAGCUGGCCGCGCAAGUCCGUCGGGAAAUCCACCUGCCCAACAGGUGGGCGUCCGGCGGAAACUGUGUGGCUUGGAACCGGAAGGCUCAGAGGGUACGUCCGGGGUAGGAGUGAAAUCCCGUAAUCCCGGACGGACCACCGAUGGCGAAAGCACUCUGAGAAGACGGCUUCGACAGUGAGGGACGAAAGCUAGGGUCUCAAACCGGAUUAGAUACCCUGGUAGUCC